UUCCGGUUGAUCCUGCCGGAGGUCACUGCUAUUGGGAUUCGACUAAGCCAUGCGAGUCGAGAGGGUUCGGCCCUCGGCAGACGGCUCAGUAACACGUGGAUAAUCUGCCCUUAGGCGGAGGAUAACCUCGGGAAACUGAGAAUAAUACUCCAUAGAUCUAGGAUGCUGGAAUGCACUUAGAUUGAAAGUUCCGGCGCCUAAGGAUGAGUCUGCGGACUAUCAGGUAGUAGUCAGGGUAAAGGCCUGACUAGCCUACGACGGAUACGGGUUGUGAGAGCAAUAACCCGGAGACGAUAUCUGAGACACGAUAUCGGGCCCUACGGGGCGCAGCAGGCGCGAAACCUUCACAAUGUGCGAGAGCGCGAUGAGGGGAUCCCAAGUGCUUGCUCGUAAGAGUAAGCUGUUUUUAUGUCUAAAACGCAUAGAGAGUAAGGGCUGGGUAAGACGGGUGCCAGCCGCCGCGGUAAUACCUGCAGCUCAAGUGGUGACCGCUAUUAUUGGGCCUAAAACAUUCGUAGCCGGUUUGGUAAAUGCCUGGGUAAAUCGUGUAGCUUAACUAUACGAAUUCCGGGUAGACUGCCAAACUUGAGACCGGGAGAAGCUAGAGGUACUCCUUGGGUAGAGGUGAAAUUCUGUAAUCCUAGGGGGACCACCAGUGGCGAAGGCGUCUAGCUAGAACGGGUUUGACGGUGAGGAAUGAAGCCCUGGGGCGCAAACCGGAUUAGAUACCCGGGUAGUCCAGGGUGUAAACGCUGCUUGCUUGAUGUUAGUUGGGCUCCGAGCCCAAUUAGUGUCGGAGAGAAGUUGUUAAGCAAGCUGCCUGGGAAGUACGAUCGCAAGAUUGAAACUUAAAGGAAUUGGCGGGGGAGCACAGCAACGGGUGGAGCGUGCGGUUUAAUUGGAUUCAACGCCGGG
rnacentral:rRNA from 1 species